UGGGGAAUCUUGGACAAUGGGGGCAACCCUGAUCCAGCGACGCCGCGUGGGUGACGAAGGCCUUCGGGUUGUAAAGCCCUUUUUCCGGGGACGAUGAUGACGGUACCCGGGGAAUAAGCACCGGCUAACUCCGUGCCAGCAGCCGCGGUAAGACGGAGGGUGCUAGCGUUGUUCGGAUUUACUGGGCGUAAAGGGCGCGUAGGCGGCCUGAUCAGUCGGGUGUGAAAGCCCGGGGCUCAACCCCGGAACGGCACCCGAGACGGUCAGGCUGGAGACCGGGAGAGGAGGGUGGAAUAGCCAGUGUAGAGGUGAAAUUCGUAGAUAUUGGCUGGAACACCGGUGGCGAAAGCGGCUCUCUGGCCCGGUUCUGACGCUGAGGCGCGAAAGCGUGGGGAGCAAACAGG
rnacentral:rRNA from 1 species